GGAAUUUUGGACAAUGGGGGAAACCCUGAUCCAGCCAUCCCGCGUGUGCGAUGAAGGCCUUCGGGUUGUAAAGCACUUUUGGCAGGAAAGAAACGUCGCGGGUUAAUACCUCGCGAAACUGACGGUACCUGCAGAAUAAGCACCGGCUAACUACGUGCCAGCAGCCGCGGUAAUACGUAGGGUGCAAGCGUUAAUCGGAAUUACUGGGCGUAAAGCGUGCGCAGGCGGUUCGGAAAGAAAGAUGUGAAAUCCCAGAGCUUAACUUUGGAACUGCAUUUUUAACUACCGGGCUAGAGUGUGUCAGAGGGAGGUGGAAUUCCGCGUGUAGCAGUGAAAUGCGUAGAUAUGCGGAGGAACACCGAUGGCGAAGGCAGCCUCCUGGGAUAACACUGACGCUCAUGCACGAAAGCGUGGGGAGCAAACAGGA
rnacentral:misc_RNA from 1 species